rnacentral:lncRNA from 1 species
CCUCGCCGGUCGCCGCGGCAGCCAGUGAUGCCCGAGCGGCGGGUUCCCAGGCCCAGGUGUGGGCGCCACCGCCCACCAUGCGCCAAGCCCAGAGCCUGGUUGAAUCGUUCGCCACCUUGUCUACCCAUUUUGGCCAUUAUCCUGCCACCUCCAAAUCCUGUUUUUGACACUUCUCGGGAGAGAGAGAAAACGGAAAGAUAAAGGAAUAAACUCCUCGUGGUCGUAGUUAGUGGGUAAAUUCAGAUCUCGUUUGAACCGAGGUUUUUCUUAUCUCCAGCCACCGUAUCCACCACCACCAGAAUCGUCUUUUUAGUCAUCACAGCUGGUCGCCGUCAGUACCUUGUUCAGAAGCCUCUCGCAGCUUCCAUCGUGUGGUUAUACAAUCCAAAUUCCUUAUAAAGUCCAAAUUCAAGAGGAGGAAUGCACGUUUAGUUAAGUUAAUGUCUAGACCUUACCAGCCAAUUUCUAGCUCCUCAGUAUGGAAAUUGCAACUGAAAACACCCCUUCCAAAAAAAGCAGUCUGCAUUUUUCUCUGAGUUUUCUUCUCCAAAUUUCGCACCCCUGACCUUGCUUACACACUCUGGAUACCACCUGCUGUGGAGUGGCGGAAGCAGACAUCCAGCGAUAGCUAAGUUUCCUGUCGUUGACACCCAAGCAAGACAGGCGUGUACCUAACUGAGGACCUGCCGGUGAUAGAAGUCUCAGCUUUUCUCAGAGACAGAUGAGUCUUCCCUUUAAAUGCUGCAAAGUGCUGCAUAGUAGAUGUUAAAUGAAAGUCAGAAAGAAUCAAAUGUGCUGCAAAUAAUUGAAGCUGCUGGCCAGAUUUCGCCAAAACUCCCAAAUGGAGGCCAAUCAUGCA